rnacentral:lncRNA from 1 species
AUUCACUCAGGUGUAGGGAAAUUUAGCUCACAUCUAUCCUUUGUAAAAAUAUUACAGAACUUAAUGGAACACAAAAUAUUUUAUAUGAUGAUGAUAGGGCAGGACUGUGCUCCUGUUAAAUCACCUAAGCCACUAUUUUGGUUUUAGCUAAACAAAAGGUUAGGCUCAAUGUUGAAGAACACCAUUAAGAUACAUUCAGUGUCUCUUGAAGAUUCAGUGAUUCUUCUCUGGAGGAGGGUGACUGAACUUUCCAAGACAGACUGAACUUUUCUGUUUACCACCAUGAAACAUAACUACAAUGAAGAAGAUGCAGCCUUUAUCUCUCUGCUCUGUAUGAAAUUUGACCUGUGAUUCAUAAGAGCAAUGAGAUGGAAGAAAUGGACUCUAAAAGAAGCUCAAAGGCAGAGAUUUUGCUGAAUGAUGACAGCAGACCGAAGGAGCCUCCGGAAAUUUUAGGUCAGCAUAGUACUUCUCUGAAAAUAUUCAAAAGUGAAGGAGUUGAGAAUCCGGCCUAAAGUAGGCAAGACCAAGAGCUUUGUGAUUUGCACAAGGAGGCUUCUCUCCUAAUCCAGGUAAGGUAGAAAGGAGG